UACAGAGGGGGCAAGCGUUAUUCGGAAUUAUUGGGCGUAAAGGGCGCGUAGGCGGCUUUGCAAGUGACGGGUGAAAGCCCUCGGCUUAACCGAGGAACUGCCUGUCAGACUGUAAGGCUUGAGACCGGGAGAGGUGAGUGGAAUUCCCAGUGUAGCGGUGAAAUGCGUAGAUAUUGGGAGGAACACCAGUGGCGAAGGCGGCUCACUGGAUCGGAACUGACGCUGAGGCGCGAAAGCGUGGGGAGCAAACAGG
rnacentral:rRNA from 1 species